UACGGAGGGGGCUAGCGUUGUUCGGAGUUAUUGGGCGUAAAGAGCUCGUAGGCGGUUUGUCGCGUCUGCCGUGAAAGUCCGGGGCUCAACUCCGGAUCUGCGGUGGGUACGGGCAGACUAGAGUGAUGUAGGGGAGACUGGAAUUCCUGGUGUAGCGGUGAAAUGCGCAGAUAUCAGGAGGAACACCGAUGGCGAAGGCAGGUCUCUGGGCAUUAACUGACGCUGAGGAGCGAAAGCAUGGGGAGCGAACAGG
rnacentral:rRNA from 1 species